rnacentral:rRNA from 1 species
UUCUUUCCGUGCCAAACGCCGACGCGGUCUCUGAGUUGCGCGUGUGCAUUUCAGUAAGGCGGAGCUGAGCCCGCCAUUGCGCACCUUUGUUGCUGUCAGAAAGGCGUCCGUCCCAGAAAAAGCGCGAGCCCGCGUCGUGCAGUGGGUUCGUAGGCGCGCGACGCCCUGAGCGUUGGACGCGGGUCUGCGCUUAAGCUGCAUAGGGUCUCUUCGUCCCUCACCGCUCGGCCUGCAUCUGCACAAGCAUUUAAAUUUCACCCAGUCCGGGAUAGAGACAGCUGAGCAGUCGUGACGCCAUUCAUGCGGGACACCAUUUAAAUGCCAAGGAAUUUCGCUACCUUAGAGCUGUUAGAGUUACAGCUGCCGUUUGCAAUGCCGUUGGGCAGGCGUCAGACCCUCUACGUCCACCGCGUGUUGGCAGAGUCCUGUGUUUUUGGUAAACAGUCGCUGCUCCGAAUCGAAGGCGCGCAAACGCACCUCCGGGGUUGCCGAGUUCCUUUACCCCGGUGGACUGCAGCCAUGACUAGACGGCGAACCUGGGUUGGUUUGCGGU